GCCCUGAUGGUGAAACGGAAAUCAUGCCUCGCUUCGAACGAGGAGGUCCGGGUUCGACUCCUGGUCGGGGUA
rnacentral:tRNA from 1 species